CCUACGGGAGGCAGCAGUGGGGAAUAUUGGGCACUGGAGGCAACUCUGACCCAGCACCGCCGCGUGACGGACGCAGGCCCUAGGGUUGUACACUUAUGUUGUACAGGAAGAAAAGAAUGCCGGUACUUUACAAGAAAGCCCCGGCUAACUAUGUGCCAGCAGCCGCGGUAAGACAUAGGGUGCAAGCGUUGUUCGGAAUUACUGGGCGUAAAGGUAGCGUAGGCGGGAGAUUAAGUUAAGAGUGAAAGCCUUGGGCUCAACCCAAGAAAUGCUCUGAAUACUGGUUGUCGAGAGUGUGGGAGAGGUAAGUGGAAGUCGUGGUGGAGCGGUAGAAUGCGUAGAGAUUAGGAGGAACAUCAGAGGCGAAGGCGGCUUACUGGACCAUAACUGACGAUGAGGCUCGAAAGCGUGGGGAGCAAACAGGAUUAGAUACCCUGGGAGUC
rnacentral:rRNA from 1 species